UUUAAAUUGAUGAGCAUGUCUUAGUGCAUUGUAAGCAGUGUAAGUACAUAUUAUUGUAGUUAUAGGGCACAUAUAUCUAUGCAAAAUAUAUGUUGUUCUCUUUAGGUAUUUAAGCAGCCCUGGCCUGGAAUAAUGAGGACUGUGUACAGGAACCACCAGAGAUUUGAGACUACCUACUUUAGGAAAUUUCCUGGAUUUUAUGUAACUGGAGAUGGUUGCCGCAGGGAUAAGGAUGGGUACUACUGGAUCACUGGCAGAAUUGAUGACAUGCUUAAAGUUUCCGGUCAUUUAUUGAGCACUGCAGAGGUGGAAUCUGCUUUGAUGGAGCAUGAGGCAGUUGCGGAGGCAGCU